UAACCUUAUAUUAAAACCAAAAAUCAAAUGGUUGUUUUGAUGAAUGUUUAAUAGAGCCAAUUUGGACUUUGUGGCUGACUAGUGGAAAUCUUGUUCUCAUAUCUGGUUAUUAUAAUGGAUCAUCUGUGGUCAAACGCGGAUGUUUAAAACUGAACUGCUGUCGCCACCGUGAGGCAACAGAGGGGAGGACAGCCACUUACAACUUCUCUCAUGAAUUAGUCCGUUUUGACAUACCUUAUCAUUGCCUUGAUAUAUGUUUAUGCUAGUUGUAUUUAGACACAUUAUGGUGUUUCUACUCAAACGUCCUGCUGAAGUAAUGAAGUUAGCUGGCUAGAUUACAACAUCCAAGUUGACGAGAGCCAUUCGAGUGAGUGAGUAAGUUUGGAGGACCUUCGGUUUGGAAACUGCUCCUACAGUACAUACCUGCGCCAAAUUCUGAUCAGAAACCAGUACUGAUCCAUGUGUGUGGAGUGAACCCAAUGGAGACCAACACAUGCUCUGGGACCUACACCAGGAAGCCCAGCCUGCCCUACACUCCAGGAACUGAUGUGUCCGGGGUUGUGGAGGCUGUUGGAGAUGGGGUCCAACUUACAGGUGGGAGUGUGCAGCGUGUCAGGUGGCCUUGGGUCUGAGGGUCCUGGGGACAGCAGGGACCGCAGAGGGACUGAAGCUUGCCCUGAAGAACGGAGCUCACAUAGAAUGCUCUUUCCAUGACAUAGACUGACCACAUGAAUCCAGGGGAAAGCUAUGAUCCCUUAUUGAUGUCACUUGUUAACUCCACUUCAAUCAGUGUUGAUGAACAGGAGGAGGCAAGUUAUAGAAGGAUUUUUAAGCCUUGGGACAAUUGAGACAUGGAUUGUGUAUGUGUGGCAUUCAGAGGGUGAAUGGGCAAGACAAAACAGUUCAGUGCCUUUGAACCGGGUAAUGGUAGAAGGUGCCAGGCACACCGGUUUGUGUCAAGAACUGCAACGCUGAUGUAUUUUUCACUCUCAACAGUUUCCAGUGUGUGUCAAGAAUGGUCCCCCACCCAUGAAGCCAAUGGUGACUUUAACAGAGUUACUGAGUUUAAUGGCUGUGAUAGGGGAAAAACUGAGGAUGGAUGAACAACAUUGUAGUUAUUCCCCAAUACUAACCUAAUUGACAGAGUGAAGAGAAGGAAGCCUGUACAGAGUAAAAAUAUUCCAAAACAUGCAUCCUGUUUGCAACAAGGCACCAAAGUAAUAAUGCAAAAAAUGUGGCAAAGCAAUUAACUUUUUGCACUGAAUAAAAAGUGUUAUGUUUGGGGAAAAUCCAUUACAACACAUUACUGAGUACCACUCUCCAUAUUUUCAAGCAUAGUGGUGGCUGCAUCUUGUUAUGGGUAUGAUUGUAAUCAUUAAGGACUGGGGAGUUUUUCAGGAUAAAGAAACGGAAUGGAGCAGGCAAAAUCCUAGAGGAAAACCUGGUUCAGUCUGCUUUCCACCAGACACUGGGAGAUGAAUUCACCUUUCAGCAGGACAAUAACCUAAAACACAAGGCCAAAUCUACACUGGAGUUGCUUACCAAGAAGACAGUGAAUGUUCCCAAGUGACCGUGUUACAGUUUUAACUUAACUCUACUUGAAAAUCUAUGGCAAGACCUGAAAAUGGUUGUCUAGCAAUGAUCAAUGAUCAACAACCAAUUUGACAGAGCAUGAAGAAUUUUGAAGAUAAAAUUCCAGUUGUAGAAAGCUCUUAGAGACUUACCCAGAAAGGGUCACAGCUGUAAUCACUGCCAAAUGUGCUUCUGCAUAGUAUUGACUCAGGGGUGUGGCACUUAUGUAAAUGAGAUAUUUCUGUAUUUCUGUAUUUCAAUAAAUUUGCAAACAU